rnacentral:misc_RNA from 1 species
CACCCAUAAAAAAAAUUCCAUACGAUAAACUUUGUUCUACAAUAGGUGAUGACACCAUUUUCAUGUCCCAUGCAUGUGAACCACAGCAAGAGUAACAAGCAUUAGUGUUGCUGGAAAAUGCAUGAUAAUUCUCCUUUAUAGAAGAGAACAAGAUGUAUUAGUCUUAUAAGAAGAUGUAAAAAUAUAAAUGUCACGAAAAAACAGAGGACCAUCGAACAGAGGACCAUUGAAUGGUAUAUGCUUUAAAAGGAUGCAUAUUGGUUGUUUAAUAGACAGGCAGGCGAUUGAGGUAUGAUUCGUUAUGCAAAGUCCUACUGCAGCCAAAUGGCGCAGGCGUCUUGUUGUUGGUUUUCCUUGUCUUCCAUAUUCUUUAAUUUCCUGCCUUACAAGA